UACGUAGGUGGCAAGCGUUGUCCGGAAUUACUGGACGUAAAGGGUGCGUAGGUGGUUGUUUAAGUCUGUUGUGAAAGCCCCGGGCUCAACCUGGGAAUGGCAAUGGAUACUGGACAGCUAGAGUGCGGUAGAGGGUAGUGGAAUUCCCGGUGUAGCAGUGAAAUGCGUAGAGAUCGGGAGGAACACCAAUGGCGAAGGCAGCUCGCUGGGACGGUACUGACGCUGAGGCGCGAAAGCGUGGGGAGCAAACAGG
rnacentral:rRNA from 1 species